GACAGGUGAUGCAAGUGUUAUCCGGAAUGAUUGGGCGUAAAGCGUCUGUAGGUGGUUUACCAAGUCUGUUGUUAAAACUGACGGGCUUAACCCUGGAUACGGCAAUAGAAACUAGUAGGCUAGAGUACGGUAGGGGCAGAGGGAAUUUCGGUGUAGUGGUGAAAUACGUAGAUAUCGAGAAGAACACCGAUAGCGAAAGCACUCUGCUGGGCCGACACUGACAUUGAGAGACGAAAGCUAGGGGAGCGAAAGGG
rnacentral:rRNA from 1 species